rnacentral:rRNA from 1 species
UACGAAGGGGGCUAGCGUUGCUCGGAAUCACUGGGCGUAAAGCGCACGUAGGCGGAUUCUUAAGUCGGGGGUGAAAUCCUGGAGCUCAACUCCAGAACUGCCUUCGAUACUGGAAGACUUGAGUCCGGGAGAGGUGAGUGGAACUGCGAGUGUAGAGGUGAAAUUCGUAGAUAUUCGCAAGAACACCAGUGGCGAAGGCGGCUCACUGGCCCGGUACUGACGCUGAGGUGCGAAAGCGUGGGGAGCAAACAGG